rnacentral:lncRNA from 1 species
UUAAAUAUCUCACGCGAUCUUUACAUGCGAUCGGCGCCGGAUCAGGGACCAUGCUGUCCUGAGGGAUGAGUUAUCGCAUAGAACGCAAAGGGAAGUACUUAUUACACGUUGUUAUUAUUUGAUUGGCUCUUAACCGCUAAUAGAUAAAAACGAAGGAAGGAUGCUGGCCAAGGAUACGUACGACAUAUACCAGCCUUUAUGUGUACGUCGAGUGCGGGCAUCUGCUGCGGGGGGCUCCUGUCCCGUCCUUGCUGUUAGACGAAGAUUGCGCUACGCUCUGUUGCGUUCGUGUCCUUGGUCAGGGAGUAUCGCCUUGGUGUGGUAGCUGGUUGGCUUUUGAAGCAGGCUUAGUAUUAUCGGUGCCGAUAAGGGGCUCGCUGCCACCUCAGUGUGUGUACAUAUGUACAUAUAUAUACAUACAUUAAUUCAUUCGUCCAUCUAGCGCCCGCACCAAAGCACCAUACAGCGCGG